rnacentral:rRNA from 1 species
CGCUGUUCAGAUAGCCAUGCACGUCUAGUACAAACUAAAUGAUGGUGAAACUGCAAAUGGCUCAUUACAACGGUUAUGAUGUACCCGGGAGUUCCGAUGGAUAUUUCCAGUAACACUAGAACUAAUACAUGUCCCUGCGUUUAUUAGUUUCGCACAGUCCGUCGCUGAGUCAUGGUAAGCAGUUGAUCGACUCGACGUCCCGGAACAGUUUCCGCCCCAUCAGCUUCGAUGGUUGGGUAUUGGCCUACCAUUGCAACAACGGGUAACGAGGAAUUAGGGUUUGAUUUCGGAGAGGGAGCCUGAGAAACGGCUACCACAUCUACGGAUGGCAGCAGGCGCGCAAAUUACCCAAUGCAGACACUGUGAGGUAGUGACGAGAAAUAAUAAAGCGGGACUUCUGUUUCGCUAUUAUAAUGAGGAAUAACCAAAGGUCAUUCCGAUUAGCAACUGAUGGGAAAGUCUGGUGCCAGCAGCCGCGGUAAUACCAGCGUCAGUAGCAU